GAUGAACGCUAGCUACAGGCUUAACACAUGCAAGUCGAGGGGCAGCAUGGUCUUAGCUUGCUAAGACUGAUGGCGACCGGCGCACGGGUGAGUAACACGUAUCCAACCUGCCGUCUACUCUUGGACAGCCUUCUGAAAGGAAGAUUAAUACAAGAUGGCAUCAUGAGUCCGCAUGUUCACAUGAUUAAAGGUAUUCCGGUAGACGAUGGGGAUGCGUUCCAUUAGAUAGUAGGCGGGGUAACGGCCCACCUAGUCUUCGAUGGAUAGGGGUUCUGAGAGGAAGGUCCCCCCACAUUGGAACUGAGACACGGUCCAAACUCCUACGGGAGGCAGCAGUGAGGAAUAUUGGUCAAUGGACGAGAGUCUGAACCAGCCAAGUAGCGUGCAGGAUGACGGCCCUAUGGGUUGUAAACUGCUUUUAUAAGGGAUAAAGUGGGAGUCGUGACUCUUUUUGCUAUGUACCUUAUGAAUAA
rnacentral:rRNA from 1 species